GACGACACAGAGCUGCUCUCCGUUUGGGACGCGCGAUAAGUUCCUGCCAGGAGUUUUCCCUCCUUGUGUUUUGUUAUUUGAACAGCAGCUGUUUAUCAGGCAUGCACACCGGAGGAAAAUCCCCUUUGGAUUCUGGCUUCAGCACAUCUUGUGUGAAAAUCUACCUGUGCUCCAACCCAGAAGACAGCGUGGUGGAGCGUAGAGCUCUGAGGGACAGUGUGUUCCCCAGAUUCAGAGAGCACUGCAGACACUCGCUGGCACUGGAUGUCAGGGUGAUAGACCCGUUUGAAUCCAGUGAUCCCAGUCGCUGGCCAGAUGAAGACACCAGGCAUCAGAUGAUACAUGAAUGCAGAGGAAGCUCAGCUGGACCUUUUUUACUGGUAAAUAAAGUCCUUGGGGAGAAUCUCAAGUGUAAACCAACAGGAUCUCAGACUGACCCUUACUUCUCAGUACAAUGAAUGAUGACAUGCUCUAAAGGACAUCAGCACCUUGCCAUGAGUUGUAGUCAAAGUUUUAUUGUUGAAUUUUAUCAGUUUUUAGUAUUAUGAACUUUAAAAAUAAAAGCUUUUCACCCUUUCUGGAGUAUGCUGGACUUUGCAAAGUCAUCUACACUGUGCUAUGUUUGUUCUCCUUUUUAAAUUAAACUUAUCAUCACGGCUGCAGAACAGUUCUGUCAUUGAGCCGUGUCAACAAAUGGACAAAAUAAUAGAAACACUUUCCAAU
ensembl:lncRNA